AGAGUUUGAUCAUGGCUCAGAACGAACGCUGGCGGCAGGCCUAACACAUGCAAGUCGAACGAAGCCUUCGGGCUUAGUGGCGGACGGGUGAGUAACGCGUGGGAACGUGCCUUUCACUACGGAAUAGUCCCGGGAAACUGGGUUUAAUGCCGUAUACGCCCAUCGGGGGAAAGAAUUUCGGUGAAAGAUCGGCCCGCGUUAGAUUAGGUAGUUGGUGGGGUAAUGGCCUACCAAGCCUACAAUCUAUAGCUGGUUUUAGAGGAUGAUCAGCCACACUGGGACUGAGACACGGCCCAGACUCCUACGGGAGGCAGCAGUGGGGAAUCUUAGACAAUGGGGGAAACCCUGAUCUAGCCAUGCCGCGUGAGUGACGAAGGCCUUAGGGUCGUAAAGCUCUUUCGCCAGGGAUGAUAAUGACAGUACCUGGUAAAGAAACCCCGGCUAACUCCGUGCCAGCAGCCGCGGUAAUACGGAGGGGGUUAGCGUUGUUCGGAAUUACUGGGCGUAAAGCGCGCGUAGGCGGAUUGGAAAGUUGGGGGUGAAAUCCCAGGGCUCAACCCUGGAACUGCCUCCAAAACUCCCAGUCUAGAGUUCGAGAGAGGUGAGUGGAACUCCGAGUGUAGAGGUGAAAUUCGUAGAUAUUCGGAAGAACACCAGUGGCGAAGGCGGCUCACUGGCUCGAUACUGACGCUGAGGUGCG
rnacentral:rRNA from 1 species